AUACCCACACUAACCGUAGUCAAAUUUUUCCACAAAGCCAACUCUGAAUCCUUUCUCUCUAUUUCUCUACCCUUCUCCCCAAAACCCAACUCUGAAAAGAAUACCAAACAUCGUCUUCUUCUCCUCUCUCUUCUCUAAAACCAAUACUUCCCUAAAACCUUCUCUUCUCGCCUCCCUUGGAACCCAAAUUUAAUAAUCAACCGUCUCUCUCUAACCUUCUUCUCUCUAGGCUGCCUCACAAUACCUCUUCAAGAACAAACCAUCCUGGAUCAAUGGGAAAGUCCCUCUCCAGUUUCCGCACAUCCAAGUUUCUGUGUAGGCACUGAUUUGUGAGCCUUUGAUUUACAGAUAAAUUCAAAAUUCGAUAGGGUUUUUGCUCAUCGGACCUCACCUCGACCCAAAGCCCUAAACCAAAGAAGAUCGGAGUGAAAAGUGAAAGAGUAGUUCCUCGGUUGAGCUAACCAGGUCAGUUUUCCGAUUGUGCUUUCUCUUUUUGGUUGCUGAGAAAGAAACAAAUAAGAAGGAUUGUUGUUUUUCCUUUUUGACGUAAGAAAUAAGAAUGAGCUGAAUACAGUUGUUUGGUUUAGUUUACCGUAGUCUCUAGGCUCUCGCUUUUAUUAUUUUUUGUUUUUUUGUUUGGGGAGGAAGAAGCAAAAAAAAUUCAAACUUUCACGCUCUCAUAUAUAUUUUCACUGUUUUUUUACUCCUUGCAAUAUACUCCUAGGGUUGGCCACAGCCUUCACUUGCAAUGUUGAGGCUGAAUUACUUGAAAUAGAGAUCAUGUCUAUUGGUGAAAUAGAGAAGCAGAAACAAAGCAAAAAAAAGCACUAUUAUAACAGUUUGCCUUUUCUGUUGUGCACCACCACUGUUGUAUAAGCAUAUAAAUCUCCUUGAAGCCAACACUUUAUGGCUUUUCAUGCUUAGCAAUUCUUCUUUUGAUGUAAAUAAUGAAGAUCUCAGCCCAAAAUUAUCUUUCAUUGAUUCUUUGUUUUCAACAUAAUUGCUAAUGAAUCCUCAUCCUUCGAUGAUAAUGAAUUGGAGAUAAUUAUAUGAUUUGCUAUAGAAUGUUGAACACCCAUCUAUCCCCUAAAUGUAUUUCGAAAGGGUUUAGAACAAGUCACACUUUUUUACUUCACAUUGUAUCUGAGCUAAAAAGUGAUCAAGCCAUACUUGGUCCAAUGAAGAAAUAAUGUUGGAAGGCUUGCUUCUAAUAGGAGGCAUCAAUAUGUUUCUAAUUUGUAUAUUCCAUUAUUCUAAAUAUUCUUUAGGUACUGGAAAUAUUGCUUCCCUCUAUUACAACACCUCUAGAUUAACCAAGUUCUAUUUCUUGGUUAUAUAUGCUAAGUGUUUGACAAAAGGACUCUAAGAGCAAUUGGUUUUACUUGACAUUUUUGCACUUAUGUUAGUUUACAAGCCUAUACAGGUAUUGGGAUUAUAGUAUAGAUGAACUAUCAUAAACUAUUUGAUGAUGACCCACUAAGUUCUGUAUUUAUGUUUAUUUACUUUUAUGUAUCGCAAUAAUCAUAAUUAUCUUAGACAUUGUACCUGAGGUGUGUAUUUUUGCAUUAUGCAGACUGGGGAUAUGCUAUCUUGGUUUUAAAUAGUGGAAAUAUAAUUAUUUGGACUAUCUAAUGUGUUCAUUCCCACACCUUUUGAUUUAUGUUUGGAUUGUGCAUUCUUGGUUUUAUGCUACAUUCUAAUUUUAGAAAUUUUCUUGAAAUUAAUAAUUUUUAAUUUUUUAUUCCAAUUUGUGGGUUAUUGGUUUAUAAAUUGAUAUAAAUCAUGUCAGAUGUCAAAACUCAUGUACAAAUUAGUCCUCAAAUCAGUUGGUUACAUCCUAAACGUAAUUCCUCAUUAUUCAAGUUGGCUUGGGCUGCCUAUGUAUAUAUUUGGAUUUAGAAAAAUGCAAGGGUGUUUAGUGGCAAAGUAUUAUUACAGGAGGCUAUGCUAUAUCUGUUCAAUUGUAAAGUGUUUAGUUUGUCAUGGGUGUAAUUUUUUGGGUGGAUUCAAGUUGUAGUAAUUUUAAUACUAUUUUAUCCAAAAGUUGUUCUCUUCCCAAGUUUCUGUUUUCUUUGUAUAUUAAGUCAUGUUUUCCUCUUUAUGAUGUUAGGCAUAAAGAAAAUGCAAGUUAAAUUCUACUGCAAGUCUCUAAUAUGUCAAUAGACCUUCACAUCACUAUGCUUUCUGUUGCUUACUUCACUAACGUAAUAGAGCUGUUUGGAAGUAAUCUUUAAGUUAUGAUAUGAUGAGUGGAAUCCUAUUUUACAUUCAAAGAUGUUUUUCUGCCACUCUUCAUGCGCAUCAUUUGAUCAACUUGAACUAAAAUUCUUGCUUGCUUAAUAUUGAUUUUUAUUGACUACAACCAUAAAAUAAAGGACAACAUGGUCCAGCCUAGAAGGUUGCCAUUGUAGCUCUUUUAAUUCCCCCCCCCCCCCCCCCCCAAAAAAUCUGAAAUAUCUAUGAUAAGAGAAGUUAGACAAUAUAUGUGAUUGAUGAUAGUAUUAACAACUAUGUAUGAUAUAUGGUACCUCCAUGUAUAAUAUAUUUAUGAUUGUGUUUGCAAGGAUCGUGGAGCUUAUGUUUGCAUCAAUUAUAAGAUGGAGGAUUUUGUUAAAAGGGUGAAGAAAGAAACAAGUGGAAAGUGUAUUUUUUUCUAAUAUUAAAACCUCACUUUUCUUCAACUGUGGAUUAGUGAAACUAAAGAAUAUGAUUAUUAUUUUGUUAAGUGGACCUUUUCAUAAGGAGGUCUUUUUUAUUGUUUGUUAUCAAGGAAGAUUAUAAGUUAUUUUCUUUUUCAAGGCAUAUUAGCUACACUUUUGGGAGUAUACCAUGGAAAAGAAAGAACACUGCUAAGGGCCUAAAAACAACUUUUUGUUGCUGUUUGGGGCCAUGUUUAACUUUACCUUGAGGUAAAAAAUGAGACUACAUCAUACAAAAAUACAAUCCCUCUGUACAUUCAGCAAUAUAGAGAUACGACUGUAUACAGUAAUGGAGAUUUCCAUUUAUGAGAAGUGGAAGUACACAAGCAUAAACAAAUUAUUUUCGUAUUUA